AUUCUGCCCAUGCGGGGAAGGAUGAGAAGCUUCGACUAAGGUUCGACUCGAGCGCCAGCGAGAGAGCGUUGCCGCAGGCAACGACCCGAAGGGCGAAGCGCGCAGCGCUGAGUAAUCCUUCCCCCUCCACCA
rnacentral:sRNA from 1 species